GACGAACGCUGGCGGCGUGCUUAACACAUGCAAGUCGAACGGAAAGGCCUGUCCUUCCUUGUGUUGGACGGGUACUCGAGUGGCGAACGGGUGAGUAACACGUGAGUGAUCUGCCCCCAACUUGGGUAUAAGCCUGGGAAACUGGGUCUAAUUCCCGAUAGGACUGCAGGGUGGUGCCUGUGGUGGAACACGAUUUUCUAGUGGUUGGGGAUGAGCUCGCGGCCUAUCAGCUUGUUGGUGGGGUAAUGGCCUACCAAGGCGGCGACGGGUAGCCGGCCUGAGAGGGUGGACGGCCACAGUGGGACUGAGAUACGGCCCAGACUCCUACGGGAGGCAGCAGUGGGGAAUAUUGCACAAUGGGCGGAAGCCUGAUGCAGCGACGCCGCGUGGGGGAUGACGGCCUUCGGGUUGUAAACUCCUUUCGACCGCGAGGAAGCCGCCUGGUUGGAAGGGUGGUGACGGUAGUGGUAGAAGAAGCACCGGCUAACUACGUG
rnacentral:rRNA from 1 species